rnacentral:rRNA from 1 species
AUACGUAGGUGGCAAGCGUUGUCCGGAUUUACUGGGUGUAAAGGGCGUGUAGGCGGAGAUGCAAGUCAGGAGUGAAAUCUAGGGGCUCAACCCCUAAACUGCUUUUGAAACUGUAUCCCUUGAGUAUCGGAGAGGCAGGCGGAAUUUCCAUUGUAGCGGGGAAAUGCGUAGAUAUUAGGAGGAACACCAGUGGCGAAGGCGGCCUGCUGGACGACAACUGACGCUGAGGCGCGAAAGUGUGCGGAGCAAACAGGAUUAGAUACCCUGGUAGUCCGCACUGUAAACGAUGAAUGCUAGGUGUAGGGGGUAUCGACCCCUUCUGUGCCGCAGUCAACACAAUAAGCAUUCCGCCUGGGGAGUACGGCCGCAAGGUUGAAACUCAAAUGAAUUGGCGGGG